rnacentral:lncRNA from 1 species
GAAAAAAUGGGCAAAUAAUAUGGAUAGGCUAUUUGCAGAAGGAUAAAUCCAAGUAGCUGACAAACAUAUGGAAAAAAGUGCUCAAACUCAUUCAUAAAGAUUUUCAAAUUGAAGAUACAAUGAGGUACCUUUUUUUUUUUUUUUUUUUUUUUGAGACGGAGUCCAGUCUCAGGCUGGAGUGCAGUCGCGUCGAUCUCUGCUCACUGCAACCUCUGCCUCCCGGGUUCAAGUGAUUCUCCUGCCUCAGGCUCCCGAGUAGAUGGGACUACAGGCGUGCGCCACCACACCCAGCUAAUUUUUGUAUUUUUGGCAUUUCUCCAAAGAAGUUAUAUGAUUGGCCAACAAAUACAUGAGAAGAUGCUCAACAUCAGUCAUUAGAGAAGUACAUCAAAACCACAAUGAGAUACCACUUCACACCCACCAGGAUGGCUACUAUAAAAAGGAAAAUAAGUGUUGGCAAGGAUGUGGACAAAUUGGAACCUUUGUACAUUACUUAUGAGAAUGUGAAAUCAUGCAGCCUGUGGAAAACAGUUUGGCAGUUUCUUAGAUAAACACAGAAUUACCAAAUGACACAACAAUUCUACUCCUAGGUAUAUACCCCAAAGAAAUAAAAAUAAAUAUUCAAAUACACACUUGCAUACAAAUGUUCAUAGCAGCACUAUUCACAAUAGACAAAAGUAAAAAUAAUCCAAAUGUUAUCAAUUGAUGGAUAAACAAAAUGUUGUAUAUACACAUAUUACUUAGCCAUAAAAAGGAACGAAGUACUGAUACAUGCUACAAUGUGGAUGAAUCUUUAAAACAUUAAACUAAGUGAAAGAAGCUAGACACAAAAGGUCACAAAUUGUAUGUAACCUCCAGAAUAGACAAAUCCAUAGGCAGAAAGCAUAUUAGUGUUUGCCAGGGACUAAGGGGAGGAGGGAACAGGGAGUGACUGCUUAAUGGGUAUCAGUUUCCUGUAGGGUGGUGAAAAUGUCUUGGAAUUAGACAGAAGUGAUGGUUUCACAAUAUUAUGAAUGUAGUAAUGCCACUGGGUUGUACACUUAAUUAAUGGUUAAUUUUAUGUUAUGUGAAUAUUGCCUCGAUUUAAAAAAUAUAUUCUAUUUACCUUUGUGUUAGAUUCCUAUUGCUGCACAACAAAUGAACAAAAAUUUAGCGGCUUUAAAAUAUUACCACAUCAGCUUAGCUCACAGUUCUGUAGAUCCAGGUGGGCUUGAGUGGAUUCUCUGCUUACGGUUUCGCAGACCAAAAUUAAGAUGGUGACCCGGCUGGGCUCUUCUCGGAAGAAUCCCACUUCCAAGCUCAUUUAGGUUUUUAGCAGAAUUCAGUUCCUUAUGAUUCUGGGACUGAUAUCCUGAUUCUCUGCUGGCUGUCAGCCAGGAGCCAGUUUCAGUUGCUAUAGGAUGCCCACAUUUC